rnacentral:misc_RNA from 1 species
UACAGAGACUACAAGCGUUACUCGGAUUCACUGGGCGUAAAGGGUGCGUAGGUGGCCAAAUGUGUCGGGUGUGAAAUCUCGGGGCUUAACCCCGAAACUGCACUCGAAACUGUUUGGCUGGAGGCCUGGAGGGGUAAGCGGAAUUCCUGGUGUAGCAGUGAAAUGCGUAGAUAUCAGGAGGAACACCAAAGGCGAAGGCAGCUUACUGGACAGGUUCUGACACUGAGGCACGAAAGCGUGGGGAGCAAAAAGG